UAGCCGUAAACGAUACUCGCUAGGUGUCGGCCACGGUGCGACCGUUGUCGGUGCCGUAGGGAAGCCGUGAAGCGAGCCACCUGGGAAGUACGGCCGCAAGGCUGAAACUUAAAGGAAUUGGCGGGGGAGCACCACAACGGGUGGAGCUUGCGGUUUAAUUGGAUUCAACGCCGGAAAUCUUACCGGGACCGACAACAACAUGAAGGCCAGGCUGAAGACUUUGCCGGAUUAGCUGAGAGGAGGUGCAUGGCGUAGUCGUGU
rnacentral:rRNA from 1 species